rnacentral:rRNA from 1 species
GAGGGGAGUGAAAAAGAACCUGAAACCGUGUACGUACAAGCAGUGGGAGCACCUUCGGGUGUGACUGCGUACCUUUUGUAUAAUGGGUCAGCGACUUAUAUUCUGUAGCAAGGUUAACCGUAUAGGGGAGCCGCAGGGAAACCGAGUCUUAACUGGGCGUUAAGUUGCAGGGUAUAGACCCGAAACCCGGUGAUCUAGCCAUGGGCAGGUUGAAGGUUGGGUAACACUAACUGGAGGACCGAACCGACUAAUGUUGAAAAAUUAGCGGAUGACUUGUGGCUGGGGGUGAAAGGCCAAUCAAACCGGGAGAUAGCUGGUUCUCCCCGAAAGCUAUUUAGGUAGCGCCUCGUGAACUCAUCUUCGGGGGUAGAGCACUGUUUCGGCUAGGGGGUCAUCCCGACUUACCAACCCGAUGCAAACUACGAAUACCGAAGAAUGUUAUCACGGGAGACACACGGCGGGUGCUAACGUCCGUCGUGAAGAGGGAAACAACCCAGACCGCCAGCUAAGGUCCCAAAGUCAUGGUUAAGUGGGAAACGAUGUGGGAAGGCACAGAC